GCUCAGUAACACGUGGAUAACCUGCCCUUGGGUCUGGGAUAACCCCGGGAAACUGGGGAUAAUACUGGAUAACGCAUAUGUGCUGGAAUGCUUUAUGCGUAAAACGGAUUCGUCCGCCCAAGGAUGGGUCUGCGGCCUAUCAGGUAGUAGUGGGUGUAAUGUACCUACUAGCCAACAACGAGUACGGGUUGUGAGAGCAAGAGCCCGGAGAUGGAUUCUGAGACAUGAAUCCAGGCCCUACGGGGCGCAGCAGGCGCGAAAACUUUACAAUGCGGGAAACCGUGAUAAGGGAACACCGAGUGCCAGCAUCAUAUGCUGGCUGUCCAGAUGUGUAAACUACAUCUGUUAGCAAGGGCCGGGCAAGACCGGUGCCAGCCGCCGCGGUAACACCGGCGGCCCGAGUGGUGACCGUUAUUAUUGGGUCUAAAGGGUCCGUAGCCGGUCAGGUAAGUCCCUUGGGAAAUCUGGCAGCUCAACUGUCAGGCUGCUAGGGGAUACUGUUUGGCUUGGGACCGGGAGAGGUGAGAGGAACUCCCAGGGUAGGGGUGAAAUCCUAUAAUCCUGGGAGGACCACCUGUGGCGAAGGCGUCUAACUGGAACGAACCUGACGGUGAGUAACGAAAGCCAGGGGCGCGAACCGGAUUAGAUACCCGGGUAGUCCUGGGCCGUAAACGAUGUGGACUUGGUGUUGGGAUGGGCCUCGAGCUGCCCCAGUGCCGAAGGGAAGCUGUUAAGUCCACCGCCUGGGAAGUACGGUCGCAAGACUGAAACU
rnacentral:rRNA from 1 species